UCCCCGGUCGUCCAACGGUAGGACACCGGUCUUUGGAGCCGAGAAUCCAGGUUCGAAUCCUGGUCGGGGAA
rnacentral:tRNA from 1 species